rnacentral:rRNA from 1 species
UGGGGAAUAUUGCGCAAUGGGCGAAAGCCUGACGCAGCGACGCCGCGUGGGGGAUGAAGGCCUUCGGGUUGUAAACCCCUUUCAGCAGGGACGAAGCGAAAGUGACGGUACCUGCAGAAGAAGCGCCGGCUAACUACGUGCCAGCAGCCGCGGUAAUACGUAGGGCGCAAGCGUUGUCCGGAAUUAUUGGGCGUAAAGAGCUCGUAGGCGGUCUGUUACGUCUGCUGUGAAAACCCAGGGGCUUAACCCUGGGCUUGCAGUGGAUACGGGCAGACUAGAGGCAGGUAGGGGAGAAUGGAAUUCCCGGUGUAGCGGUGAAAUGCGCAGAUAUCGGGAGGAACACCGGUGGCGAAGGCGGUUCUCUGGGCCUGACCUGACGUUGAGGCUCGAAAGCGUGGGGAGCAAACAGGAUUAGAUACCC